rnacentral:rRNA from 1 species
CCUUUGUACACACCGCCCGUCGCUACUACCGAUUGAAUGGCUCAGUGAGGCUCUCGGACUGGCCCAGGGGGGCGGGCAACCGCCCCCCCGGGCCGGGAAGUUAUCCAAACUCGGUCAUUUAGAGG